rnacentral:lncRNA from 1 species
CGGAGAAGGUGGUGUUAAAGGAAAACAUUGAGAAUGGGGAGUGAAGACGAGGGUUUUUCGUAGCAGAAGAUGGAUCUUCGAAAGCCAGGAGGCAGAGGAGAGCAACGCUGUCGGUGAGAUAAAGGAAGUUUUCAAAAACCUGCUUCUGUAACUAGUGGACAGGUCUUCUGGAUCCAAGGUCACCUGCUGGGGAGAAAGAGAAGCCUUUGGAUAAACAUCACAAGUUUUCCUGGAACAUGGAUUUUAUUUAAGAUUUUUUGGAAAGAAGGGAAUAAGGUUUUUACCUUUGUAAUGUUUUUACAAAUAU